rnacentral:rRNA from 1 species
GGAGCGAACGCUGGCGGCAGGCCUAAUACAUGCAAGUCGAACGGAUCCUUCGGGAUUAGUGGCGGACGGGUGAGUAACACGUGGGAACGUGCCCUUUGGUUCAGAACAACUCAGGGAAACUUGAGCUAAUACUGGAUAAGCCCUUCGGGGGAAAGAUUUAUCGCCAUUGGAGCGGCCCGCGGCUGAUUAGCUAGUUGGUGAGGUCAUAGCUCACCAAGGCGACGAUCAGUAGCUGGUCUGAGAGGACGAUCAGCCACACUGGGAUUGAGAACGGCCCAGACUCCUACGGGGGGCAGCAGUGAGGAAUUUUCGUCAAUGGGGGAAACCCUGAACGAGCAACGCCGCGUGCAGGAUGAAGGUUUUCGGAUCGUAAACUGCUUUUCUGUGGGACGAGCAAGGACGGUACCACAGGAAGAAGCCCCGGCUAACUACGUGCCAGCAGCCGC